rnacentral:rRNA from 1 species
UACGUAGGGUGCAAGCGUUAAUCGGAAUUACUGGGCGUAAAGCGUGCGCAGGCGGCUUUGCAAGACAGAUGUGAAAUCCCCGGGCUUAACCUGGGAAUGGCAUUUGGGACUGCAAGGCUUGAGUCCGGGAGAGGGGGGUGGAAUUCCCAGUGUAGCGGUGAAAUGCGUAGAUAUUGGGAGGAACACCGGUGGCGAAGGCGGCCCCCUGGACCGGUACUGACGCUGAGGCGCGAAAGCGUGGGUAGCAAACGGG